GGUGUGCUCUCAUGGCAACUGGCCGAGGAGGCACCCCUCUGCGCAGAAGUAAAAUUGUUUGGCUAGGAAUUCUUUGUUCGAGUGUUCAAUUUCCUUAGGAUUUGAGCGAUAUUUCUAACACUGGGGUUACAGGCGUGCACCACCAUGCCCGGCUAAUUUUUGUAUUUUUAGUAGAGACGGAGUUUCGCCAUGAUGGCCAGGCUGGUCUCAUGAUGGUCACUCCUGGCCUCAAGUGAUCUGCCAGCCUCAGCCUCCCAAAGUGCUGGGAUUACAGGCCUGGCAACUGCACCCGGCCUCCAUUUGUAUAUUUCAAAACAUCCUUUGAAAUAAUAGGCAGUAGUAAGUAAACUGUUUUCCUGGGUUCUGUUAGCCACUACUGCCAAUUAUUGAACCUGAGGAGGAAGUCAAAGGAACCUCCAAUUUUUAGCCAAGUUGGACAGAAGCUGUGGGCAAUCUGGAGACCUCUACUUGUGAUUGGCAUCUGAAGUGGGGGGCAGUCUUAUGAGACUGAGCCCUUAACCUAUGGGAUCUGACACUAUUUCCAGGUCAGGCUGCUAUCACAGGACAUCCUGAGGAAGCAGCUCGGAAGCCUUCCCGAGGAGAGUGGGAAGAUCCCGUGAGCAAGCAGGCACGUGUGGCUGUGGGAUUGGGUGAAGAACUGCACUCUGACUCAGCUUCCCAUCUUCAUGGCCCAGGAGCAAAUUCCUCAGGAUCCUGAAAGAGAGCCACACAUUUCCUGCCUCUCAGCUGUCUGUGCUUGCUGAUGUCUGACCUAAAUGACCUUAACAGAGCCAACCAGGGUGACAGUGGCACUACUGAGAAAUGCCUGAAACUUCUCUUUGAAAGCCCAAUGCUGGGUAUCAGAUGAUGAUGACGAUGAUGAUGAUGAUGAUGAUGAUGAUGAUGAUGAUGAUGAUGAUGGUGAUCAUAUCCAGAGAGAAGCAAAGUGAAUGUGUACCAUUGUGUCUUGAAUCCAGCUUGGCCAUAAGGAAAUGGGGCGAGACUUUGUCAUGUAUGUCGCUGAAGUUCAGCUAUGCAAAAAUGUUCACCUAUCCUUGAUCAACCAGUCCAGGAACCAUCAAAGAAGAAAAUGAGAUUCGACUUAGAAGACCUGUUCUUUAUAAACCCCUGCACAGCCCUAAUGAUCAACACCACUUCCAGUGCUCAUAAAUUACUGCUUCAAUAAUUGUUCUGCAAUUCUGCCUAUUCUCAUUGAAUGCUUCGUAUAAUCCCUUUAUUUACUUUGGGCUACGAUUCAUUUUUAUCAGUCAAAUGACUACUAGACUAUCCUGGUUUCUAAUUUGAAAUGUAUCCAAAGAAGAUUCCUGUCUCACCCUCUGCAAUCCACUUGCAUGUCUGACCACACUCGGUGCCUACACAAUCUUCACUUUGUCUAGCCUAAAUUCUUCUAACUGUGGCCUAAGGCCUUGGAAGAAUGAUGCCUCUGUGGGGUAAGAACUGCCUUCGUGGCAUAAGAAAGGCAGACCUGGGUGAUCUGGAAGGGCUGUUGCAAGGGGAUAGGAGUGCUGAGGCCUUUUCCAUUAAGAAUACACAGGACUAUGGAGACUCUUGUUUUACUAGAAACUUCUUCACAGAUACCUUAAAUUAGGAAGAAAAUGCCUUUGGUUCUUGGUUCUACUAUUGGCUUCAAAUUCUUAGGCAUGCCAGACCCUACUGAACAUCUUGACACAUGUCCUUUCUUCUCUGAACUGGCGCACAGGCAUGGUGAGUAACU
rnacentral:lncRNA from 10 species